CGCAACGCGCGGAAAGGGGUGGGCUGACUGGAAACAGUUGGCUUAAGGUACGUGCUAAUCCCUUGGGUAACCAAGCUCUAGUGAUAAGACCCGACAGGUCAAGGCACUAGAGGGUAGUUGGAGCAAUCUGACUGCUGGUAGGUUCACAACGUCUUUCAGACAAUGUGAACUGCAAAUUGCUGUGAUGCCCUUAGAUAUUCUGGGCCGCACGCGCGCUACACUGACAGAGCCAACGAGUUCUUUCCCUUGGCCGAAAGGUCUGGGUAAUCUUGUUAAACUCUGUCGUGCUGGGGAUAAAGCAUUGCAAUUAUUGCUUUUCAACGAGGAAUGCCUAGUAAGCGCGUGUCAUCAGCAUGCGUUGAUUACGUCCCUG
rnacentral:ncRNA from 1 species